AAGCCAUAGAAAGUGAUAGCCUUGUAUGCGACAAGGCGUUUUUAGGUAGCAGGAUCCAGAGUAGGCCAGGACACGAGAAAUCCAGGUUGAAGCUGGGGAGACCACUCUCCAACCCUAAAUACUACUCUUUGAGCGAUAGCGAACAAGUACCGUGAGGGAAAGGUGAAAAGAACCGCAGUGAGCGGAGUGAAAUAGAACCUGAAACCAUCUGCUUACAAUCAUUCAGAGCCCUAUGAUUUAUCAGGGUGAUGGACUGCCUUUUGCAUAAUGAUCCUGCGAGUUGUGGUAUCUGGCAAGGUUAAGCGAAUGCGAAGCCGUAGCGAAAGCGAGUCUUAAUAGGGCGAACAAGUCAGAUGCUGCAGACCCGAAGCUAAGUGAUCUAUCCAUGGCCAAGUUGAAACGCGUGUAAUAGCGCGUGGAGGACUGAACUCGUACCCAUUGAAACGGGUUGGGAUGAGCUGUGGAUAGGGGUGAAAGGCCAAACAAACUUAGUGAUAGCUGGUUCUCUUCGAAAUAUAUUUAGGUAUAGCCUCAAGUGAUAAUAAAAGGGGGUAGAGCCCUGAUUGGGCUAGGGCUGCUCGCCGCGGUACCAAACCCUAUCAAACUUCGAAUACCUUUUAUCGUAUCUUGGGAGUCAGGCGGUGGGUGAUAAAAUCAAUCGUCAAAAGGGGAACAACCCAGACUACCAAAUAAGGUCCCUAAGUUCUAUUCUGAGUGGAAAAAGAUGUGUGGCUACUCAAACAACCAGGAGGUUGGCUUAGAAGCAGCCAUCCUUUAAAGAAAGCGUAACAGCUCACUGGUCUAGUGGUCAUGCGCUGAAAAUAUAACGGGGCUAAGAUAGACACCGAAUUUGUAGAUUGUGUUAAACACAGUGGUAGAAGAGCGUUCAUACCAGCGUUGAAGGUAUACCGGUAAGGAGUGCUGGAGCGGUAUGAAGUGAGCAUGCAGGAAUGAGUAACGAUAAGAUAUAUGAGAAUUGUAUCCGCCGUAAAUCUAAGGUUUCCUACGCGAUGGUCGUCAUCGUAGGGUUAGUCGGGUCCUAAGCCGAGUCCGAAAGGGGUAGGUGAUGGCAAAUUGGUUAAUAUUCCAAUACCGACUAUGGAGCGUGAUGGGGGGACGCAUAGGGUUAAGCGAGCUAGCUGAUGGAAGCGCUAGUCUAAGGGCGUAGAUUGGAGGGAAGGCAAAUCCACCUCUGUAUUUGAAACCCAAACAGGCUCUUUGAGUCCUUUUAGGACAAAGGGAGAAUCGCUGAUACCGUCGUGCCAAGAAAAGUCUCUAAGCAUAUCCAUAGUCGUCCGUACCGCAAACCGACACAGGUAGAUGAGAUGAGUAUUCUAAGGCGCGUGAAAGAACUCUGGUUAAGGAACUCUGCAAACUAGCACCGUAAGUUCGCGAUAAGGUGUGCCGCAGCAAUGCGGUCUCAGCAAAGAGUCCCUCCCGACUGUUUACCAAAAACACAGCACUUUGCCAACUCGUAAGAGGAAGUAUAAGGUGUGACGCCUGCCCGGUGCUCGAAGGUUAAGAGGAUGCGUCAGUCGCAAGAUGAAGCGUUGAAUUGAAGCCCGAGUAAACGGCGGCCGUAACUAUAACGGUCCUAAGGUAGCGAAAUUCCUUGUCGGUUAAAUACCGACCUGCAUGAAUGGCGUAACGAGAUGGGAGCUGUCUCAACCAGAGAUUCAGUGAAAUUGUAGUGGAGG
rnacentral:rRNA from 1 species